UACAGAGGUGGCAAGCGUUGUUCGGAAUUACUGGGCGUAAAGGGCGCGUAGGCGGCCUUCUAAGUCAGACGUGAAAUCCCCCGGCUUAACCUGGGAACUGCGUCUGAUACUGGGAGGCUAGAGUGCGGGAGAGGGAUGCGGAAUUCCAGGUGUAGCGGUGAAAUGCGCAGAUAUCAGGAGGAACACCAAUUGCGAAGGCAGCUCGCUGGGACGUUACUGACGCUGAGACGCGAAAGCGUGGGGAGCAAACAGG
rnacentral:rRNA from 1 species